GUCAAUUCUCUAACCACCCCAACCCCAACGAAUAGGAUACCGCAAGUGCAUCCUGGUUGGUUGGCUCCCAUGCUGCCGUCGCCACGUGACGAUGCAUCCACCACUUGCACGUCGUCGCAGGACCAGCUCACGGCCCACCAACCAACCAAUCGCUAGCCUAGCCUCCUCUACCUUGGCUUCGCUUCGCUUCUAGUCAACGUACGAGGUGCAGGUCUUCCUGAUCUCUCCGUUAUCGCCCGUGAGCACCUCGAGCCUGCCCAUGUUGGUCAUGGCGACCGCGUAGUCGUCGAAGAACUCGUCGGGCGACGCCGCGGCGGCCAUCCGCUCCACGUACGUCCUGGUCCACCGGUCGUCCAUGAGCGCCUUGUCGGAGAGGAACAGGCUCGUGUUGCUGAGCACGUCGCGGUAGUAGCCCAGGUCGAAGUCGUAGGGGGUGGUGGAGUCCAUGU
rnacentral:lncRNA from 1 species